rnacentral:rRNA from 1 species
GAUGAACGCUGGCGGCGUGCCUAAUACAUGCAAGUCGAGCGAACGGACGAGAAGCUUGCUUCUCUGAUGUUAGCGGCGGACGGGUGAGUAACACGUGGAUAACCUACCUAUAAGACUGGGAUAACUUCGGGAAACCGGAGCUAAUACCGGAUAAUAUUUUGAACCGCAUGGUUCAAAAGUGAAAGACGGUCUUGCUGUCACUUAUAGAUGGAUCCGCGCUGCAUUAGCUAGUUGGUAAGGUAACGGCUUACCAAGGCAACGAUGCAUAGCCGACCUGAGCGGGUGAUCGGCCACACUGGAACGGAGACACGGUCCAGACUCCUACGGGAGGCAGCAGUAGGGAAUCUUCCGCAAUGGGCGAAAGCCUGACGGAGCAACGCCGCGUGAGUGAUGAAGGUCUUCGGAUCGUAAAACUCUGUUAUUAGGGAAGAACAUAUGUGUAAGUAACUGUGCACAUCUUGACGGUACCUAAUCAGAAAGCCACGGCUAACUACGUG